CCUACGGGUGGCAGCAGUGAGGAAUAUUGGUCAAUGGACGAGAGCCUGAACCAGCCAAGUAGCGUGAAGGAUGACUGCCCUAUGGGUUGUAAACUUCUUUUAUAUGGGAAUAAAAUGUUCCACGUGUGGGAUUUUGUAUGUACCAUAUGAAUAAGGAUCGGCUAACUCCGUGCCAGCAGCCGCGGUAAUACGGAGGAUCCGAGCGUUAUCCGGCUUUAUUGGGUUUAAAGGGAGCGUAGGUGGGUUGUUAAGUCAGUUGUGAAAGUUUGCGGCUCAACCGUAAAAUUGCAGUUGAAACUGGCAUUCUUGAGUACAGGAGAGGGUGGCGGAAGUCGUGGUGUAGCGGGGAAAUGCAUAGAUAUCAGGCAGAACUCCGGUUGCGAAGGCAGCAUACCGGCGCCCAACUGACGCUGAAGCACGAAAGCGUGGGUAUCGAACAGGAUUAGAUACCCGAGUAGUC
rnacentral:rRNA from 1 species